AAAGAAAUAGCUGUCAACUAGUUUUUCGUAAGAAUUUAUUUUAUGUCCUUCUGUUGUUCAUUAAUAUAUGCAAAUUCAUGUCUUGGGAUGGUCAUUAUUUUUUAUUUGUCAUAUACAUUGAUCCAAUUGGAAAAUCACAGAAAGAAACAGUCAUCAGAUUACUGAUUAUGUGAUAUUACUUUCUCUGUCUGGUUUCAGGGCAGAUCACUACUUUCCAGUUGCAGAGCUAUCUGUCCUUUAAACUGAAUAAAUUCUGCCUUUGUCCCACAGCAAUGAAAGAAAUCUUCACACAUCUACACAGUCAUUCAUAGCUUACAUCUCCUUGUCCUUUCUCAAAUCACUGCUAAAACAUCCUCAAUAGACUUUGGGUUCUUGCUUAUUUCCCUUAACUAGGGAACAGGAAAACUACAAAACUGGCAACUUCAGGCAUAUCUAGCAACUUGCUCCCAUAAUUCUGAUGGAAAAUUUGUAAUAUAGUGACCCAUUUUUAUAUGGUUGCUUUCCAGUGGCAAUAAAGGGCUCACCAUUCAAUUACAAGGUUACAAAAGCUGUCAUCGAGGUCAUUUAGUUGACAACUAAAUUUUUGACAGGCCAGCUAUACCAAAUGAGGUCCUGAAAUGAUAUCAGUUUUGAGUAGCAUGUUUAGAUAUGGCAAAUUCCAUUAAUAUGUUACAGAUAUUCAAAAAUAGUGAUUUAUUAGCACAGAGUAACAAAUUACUACUGAGCUUUUUGUUGUAAAGAAAAAAUAAGAAUACUUUCCCUCAAAAUAAUUUUGGCUACAUAAAAAUAUUCCAAGAGAGGAAGAAGAGGGGAAGGAGGACAGGUUGUCAAGCACCAUGAUUUUAAGUAUGAAUGAACUCGAUAAAAAUUGGCUGUUAUAGCCAAUACGUUUUAAAAUGAAAGCAUUUUGGGACUUUCAGCUUUGUCACUUUUAAUUACUUUUAUAUAUAUAUAUAUAUUUAUAUAUAUAUAUGUUUAUUACACACACACACACACAUAAACACACUUAUUUUCCAUAGUUUUAAUUUCUUUUGUAUUAAUUGUGCCAUAGUUGGAUGAGGAGCUAGAGUGACAAGCAAAUGUAUUUCACAUCAGAGCAGCAAAGCUGUGCAAAUUUUGCUCUCCAACCGUGUUUUCCAUUAAAAAAAAAUAUUUACUUUGUACUAGUUUACAUAUGUCCAAAAUGAUUGGAAGAACAUCAGAUUCACAUAAGUGGUGCAACUCUUGUUGCACUUUAAGCAUGAUUUGUGGCCUAAUUUUGCAACAGUAAACAGUGUACCAAGGCCACAGAGAUCUCAGACUCCAGUUUCAGUUCCCCUGUUGUGCAUGCUGUUUAUCUAAGAUUAUUUAACACUACUUUGUUUGAUAUUGAUCACUAGCACAAACAUAGGCAAACUUCAAAGUCAAAAUUAAUUGGAGAAGUUUAAAUGCUUAGUGAGGAAAAAUGUACAAUAAUCUUUUCUUCUUUUUUACCUCAUUUGUCAAAAGUAUUUGCUAAUAUCAUUUGUUACAGAAUCUGUGAUUUCUACAUUUUUUAGUUCAACUUAAAAAAAAAAAAAUCUGGACUUAGAAUGGAUUACAUCUGAUGUUGCUAACAUUUCCUGGAAGUGGAAAACUGUGAUAACAGCUGCUGUCUUGGCUCAUUUUCAGUUGCUGUUUUUCGGUGGAUUCUUUUUUUAUUGGUUUUGAUGGUGGUUUUUUUUUUUUUUUUGUUUUUUACUGCAGCAAUUUACAAGUAGUUACAGCUAUCUACAGUAGGCUUGCGUCAUUAGUAAAACAUUGUAAGUCAGUCAAAUGUUUCCUUUCCAAUCUGAGUGCUUCCUCCACUUACUGAAUUGUUGACUUUCUGAAUAGUAUUUACAGUAAUAACACUUGCAUUCUAAAAUAAAUGCUAAUUUAUGAAAUAAGCUAAAAGCUAGCUGCAUACAGAAGAUAACAGUAGAAAGAAUCUAUAUUUUAUGUUAAAAUGCAAUGCCUCUAAUGAGAAUUUUAAAAAUCUUGUAAGCAUCUUAUUUAGACAGACAAUACCCAGCAAAUUUAUAUCAAAUGUAUAAAGUGUUUUGUUGGUUGUUUUUUGGUUUUGUUUUAUAAAACUUAUGAUGAGCAGAAAGUUCUGUAUACUAGUAUUCUUAAUUCCAUGCAUACAUGAUUUCUCCUUGGAUUGAAAUUUCCUUCUGCAAUCUUUGCAGUAUUGUAGCAUUGUGAAGUGAUAAACAUUCAGCACUAGUGAUGAAAAAUAGAAUGAGGAGCCAAGUAAAGCAAGAGACAAAGAACUCUAAAUGCUGAUAGUGACAAAAAAAAAAAAAAAAAAAAAAAGGUUUGUGUAUAUUCAAAGUUUGCCCUCCUUAAGGUUUAUUAUUACUUCCAGCUUUAAUGUUUUAAUGUGUUUUGAAAGAUACGUGUUUUUGUUGUGUUGUUGUUGCUUUUUCAAAUGAUGUUUUCAUAGUAUCAAGAGUGUUAACAAAUUUUUAUUAGUUUUUCAUUCAAAUCUGUGCUUCUUUCUUCUGUAUAUGAUUAAGCUUCCAAAAACAAUGUUAUAUAAGCAGGAUAGUGUCUGUUUCUAUGCCAAAAGCUUGGUUUUGCUUUGUAUCAAAACAGACAACAGUUCUCCCCGUGAAGCAACUUCAGCAAAUCCAUCUUCACCAAAUAUGUUUUAAUAUUUAAAGAACACUUCCCUUCAUCACAUAUUAAAUGGCUGGUGAAGAGCCAUGCCAGCUCAAGGACCUCUGCACCAUUUCUGGUUCUGGGAUUACUGUGCACUGAGCAACUUCAGUUUUUGAGAUUUGGGACCAGCCUGUGUGAGGCCAGUUUGUGCUUCUGUGUGCACAUAAUCUAGACACGUCCUAAGAAACAUCCAAAAUUGGUGUCCAUGUUGCUGUGAGCCUUCAGGAAUGGAAGACAGAAUUUUAUGUCUGUGUUGGUAAUGACUCAAAGUUGUAAUCUCCGUGUGCCUCGUCCUUUACUUGAGUAAAAUGAACCCUCUGUUUCUUAGCCAGUGACCCUCCAUUUCUUGGCAUCCUGUAACUUUUCACAGACUUGCAAUUAAAUGAGCAAGGAGACCAAGCUACCUCAUCCUUCCUGGAGCUGGCAAUUUCAAAGCAGAACUAUGAGUCAGGGUGGCAGGAGCGGUGCAAAGGAGUCCUGCCUCCUGCUGCACUGACUCAUCAGGGGCUUUCACUUUCCGCCCCGGUCAGGAAGCCAACAUCUUUUAUGGCAAUUAAACUAAUCCUAACAAGAGGACUUUGAGAAAUUUAUUAAGCUCUGAACUCUACCUGAGCAGCAAAGUUAUGAGAUGUGAACCCUGACACACAUACAUGCCAAUCAGUAUAUUAUGUCAGUGAGCUUUCAUUUAUGUUUUGAUGCCAACUCCUGGAAGGGAUAAAGUCCUGAAAUUUGACACAAAAUAUAUUCAUGCUAGUUUGUACUGCUUAACUGUAUGUUAUUCUAUGAUAGGCUUUUUUUUGGUAGAAAUAUGAUUCCAUACUGAGUAAUACAUCUGCACACUGCAAUACCUUCAUUGUUGUUUUUUGAAGAAAAAGUCUUAUGCAGUUAGUGGUUAGCAUGUUGGAUUAAUGUAAUCAUUUUAAUUGAUGAAAUGGCCUGUUGGUUUGACUAGGAUGAACUGAGGUAGCAGUUCAGAAGUGGUUUUUACCAUAGUUAAAUUUCACCAUUAGUAGUACAUUCAUCGUCUAUAACAAAAAGUGCAAAUGCAUGAUUUGUGUCUAAUAUUUUCCAUGACUUGGGGCAAGUCACUUUACCUUUCAGUAUGUCUGUUUCUCAAUAUUCAAAAAGGGAGAGAUGAUGCCUAUCUUUCCAAGUAGCUUUAGGGAUUUAUAUCCAAGAAAGAAAGAAAGAAAGAAAGAAAGAAACAAACAAACAAACAAACAACAAAACAGCAGCCAACCAAUCUCUCUAUUGUUUGUUAACUAAUAGUAGUUUAAAAAUUUCUGCCUCUUGUUCUUAGAUAAACCCUCUUGCUCCAAGAAAAAAAUAAAUCUAUGUGGUUAUAUAUGUGUUUAUAAGUUCACCUGUAAAGAAUAAAGAAAUGGCCUUUGAAUUACAAUUUGAUUACAAAAAAAAAUAAAGUUUAACCUGGGGACAUGGGGCUUUCUUCCCAGUGUCUUCAGAAAUCUCUUUUAUGUUUCUGUGCUCCAACACUAAGCAUUCCUCAGAUAUUUAGCAUCCAGGGAAAUUCCGAUAUCCCAAGAUCUACAACGUUCCUACACCAAUAGGUGUAUUCAAUGUCUAUACAAUAGGUGUAUAUAAAUGAAAACUCCAGUUUGAAUCUGUGCUUUCCAUGAAACAGAGCCACCAUCAGGAGCACGAUCUAUUAUCUGUGACUUACAGAAAGGUACUUUGACUUAUUUGGGAGAAACCCCAUUUGAGAUCUGGCCUGCCUCAAAGUGAAAUCUAAUAAUCUGAAAGAAUAUCUAGGCCACUUUCAGAUGCUAACAAAUGUCUAGAGGUACGAAUAGGUCUUCCUGAGCUUUAACAGUUGAUUUACUUUUCUUGUCCACCCUAGGACUUAAAAACUGCCCUGUGAAGCUCUUAAUGCUUUGAGAAAAACUUGCCUAUCCUUCUUUAAUGCAAUACAAUUUAAAAUUUGUAGUAUUACCAUAGUAAAUUUUUAAAAAUGAAAUGCAAUACAUAUAACACUAGAUUUUCUUUAAUGUCCUGAAUCACAAAUAGAAGCAUGUCUAGACUCAAAUGCAAACCACGUUUUAUAGCACAACUCAAAUCCUCCUCCGUUCCCUGCCAAAUGCUGAGUUCAGUCCCUGCAGGUCUGAGCAGGGUUUCCUCAGCUACAGCGGCUGGCACCAUGAGUGCUUAUGGCAGAGCAGGGAGUGCCGCUGCUCGCCUUGGUGUGCUGGCUGGUUUCAUCAGCCAGCGCAGGUCUUGACAGGUGCAGAGCCUUCCACCUCGCUUUUCAGGGCCGUGGAGCCCUUGGUGCAGGAUUUAGGAGACUGGGAACUAACGUUUUGGUCCAGAAAGGGAAAACAAGAUAUUUUCCUGAUUGUAAUCCUCUAGAUCUGCAAGCACUGCUUCAGUGAGCUUCUUCUAAAUGCAAUAACAACAUUUGCUCUGAAAAGAGUUCUUGAUGCAUGAUGAAUUUGCCAGACAUUUCACUUUGAGACCAAGAUAUGACAAAUGUGCUUUCUCGCAUUUUCAUGUUGAUUUAUUCUCCCUCACAAAGGACAACUUCAUAAAGAGCUUGAAUCAGAUCCACGUUCACACUUUACAUAUGCAACAUUUUUGUGGCUGACAAAGUUGGCUCCUCAUGCAAACUAGCUUGGAACUGAAGUCAAAUCAGAGAAGGGCAUGCCGAGAUCGCUACACUUCAGUAGCUAUUUUUUCCAACUAAUCAUCAUUAUUAUGACUAGAUAUUUACCCUUAGGUGCAUUGAGCAGAUCACUCUGACUCAUCCGUUCAUUGGAUGUUGUCCUGUUGGGUUAAUCAUUAUCUUUUUGUCUGAAAGAUUUUUUAAUUCCUCUAACUGCCUGGGAUAGCUAUUUUGGUACUUACCAGGUGACCUCAGUGCUGACACAGCCUUUCUGGUAUUGUUGGUUGUAACUUGUGUCAUGACCUUAAUGUGAAUUAUGGCUGUCUUGAGGAUACAAACCUUCAUGUAGCACAGAUGGUCUGUAGGAAAAAGAUGUUAAUGAAGGUCUGUACAUCACACAUUGUCUUCCCUUGCAGACUAUUUCCUUUACCAUUGCCUCAUUCUUGUGGGCACCUUUUAAUCAAGCUUCUAAGGUAUAAUUUAUUGUACAGACUAUGCUCUAAUAAAAAAGACUACAACACGGGAUUCUGGAAGAUGCCUUUGCUACCAGCAUUAUCACUGCAUCUUGUUGGCCUCCAAACUUGCUUAGUUCUCCAUUAUGCAUUGUAUCACCAUUACUUCCAGAGAGUAGAUUUUUUUACUACUUCUUUGAAAGAAUGAUGAAAGCUGUGUAAGCUCAUUAACAGAGCAUGUGUGUAGGCUUAAAAUUACAGAUAAUAGACAAAUGGUUGGAAAGUCAGUAAUUCCUUUACGUAUUUGCCAAGACUUGGGUCAAAGUUCAGAGUUUCCUUUGCUCAAACUGGUGAAAUCAGAAACACCUCCAGGUGUUUUGGGGAGUGUUGGCAGUGCACAUGCAACACAGGUGAGGAGGCACAGUUGAUCUCAGGUGUUUUCUGCAAGAGCAAACCAUGUCUAGUCUAAAUUGCACUCAAUUUUAAUGUGCUUUACUUUUUGCAUAAUAUAUUUUGUAUAAGCUAAUUCAAAGCCAUAAGCUAUUUUAUUUAAGAGCUCUUGUUUUCUAUGCACUCUCAGAAUCUAUUAUUUCUAACAUUACAAUCAAUUCAUUGUAGUCAAUGUUGAUAUCACAACCCUGGCUUCUCACACACACGAAACGAAUGGUUAAUUUAUAGGAAACUGUCUGUGUCUUUAGGAGUAAUCAUCACAAAGUAUUUAAUGUCUUUCUACUCUGAAGCCCAGUUCUUUUACGUCACAUCUGCAUUUGUGUAAACAUUAAAAAAAAAAAAAAAAAAAAA